UACGUAGGGCGCAAGCGUUGUCCGGAAUUAUUGGGCGUAAAGAGCUCGUAGGUGGCUUGUCACGUCGGGUGUGAAAGCCCGGGGCUUAACUCCGGGUCUGCAUUCGAUACGGGCAGGCUAGAGUUCGGUAGGGGAGAUCGGAAUUCCUGGUGUAGCGGUGAAAUGCGCAGAUAUCAGGAGGAACACCGGUGGCGAAGGCGGAUCUCUGGGCCGAUACUGACGCUGAGGAGCGAGAGCGUGGGGAGCGAACAGG
rnacentral:rRNA from 1 species